UCGACGGCAGCACAGAGGAGCUUGCUCCUUGGGUGGCGAGUGGCGGACGGGUGAGUAAUGCAUCGGGAUCUACCCUGACGUGGGGGAUAACCUCGGGAAACCGGGACUAAUACCGCAUACGUCCUACGGGAGAAAGCGGGGGACCUUCGGGCCUCGCGCGGCAGGACGAACCGAUGUGCGAUUAGCUAGUUGGCGGGGUAAUGGCCCACCAAGGCGACGAUCGCUAGCUGGUCUGAGAGGAUGAUCAGCCACACUGGGACUGAGACACGGCCCAGACUCCUACGGGAGGCAGCAGUGGGGAAUAUUGGACAAUGGGCGCAAGCCUGAUCCAGCAAUGCCGCGUGUGUGAAGAAGGCCUUCGGGUUGUAAAGCACUUUUAUCAGGAGCGAAAUACCACGGGUUAAUACCCUAUGGGGCUGACGGUACCUGAGGAAUAAGCACCGGCUAACUUCGUGCCAGCAGCCGCGGUAAUACGAAGGGUGCAAGCGUUAAUCGGAAUUACUGGGCGUAAAGGGUGCGUAGGCGGUUACUUAAGUCUGUCG
rnacentral:rRNA from 1 species